rnacentral:lncRNA from 10 species
CCAGAGGCAGGGCUCGGCCACCCUUGACACAGUUUCCAGUUCUCCACCCGCUCCAGUUCCACAGUAAGAUGGAUCCAGACAUCUGUGUCAUACAACUCCCUCCUGGGGACCACCCCACUAUGGGACAGCUAGAUGCAGCCUGUUUGACUGCCUCCUGACCCCAACACCCAGCAUGACUAUGACUGUGCAGAUUUUCAAUGACUGCCUCUCAGUCACUGUGUGACCUCCUGGGACCCGUGCCUGCUUGCUCCAAACCCACUACUUAAAACCCUCUGCUGGAAACCUGUUUGGAUGAUAGUCAAGGCGUGGCCCCAUGUCCCUUCCUCGCUCCAGGCGCUCCCUGACCUCCAUGCAUGUGGCCUCUGGGAAUGCUGUGUACUCUCAGGACGUCACAGACUCGAGAAAUGUAGGGAACUCGAGAGCAGCCACUCGGCCCCAGGAUCAACCCAGCACCGAAGAAAAACAACCAGAAGAAAUUAUUCUUCAGCCUGAAAUGAAGCCGGGAUCAAAUGGUUGCUGAUCAGAGCCCAUAUUUAAAUUGGAAAAGUCAAAUUGAGCAUUAUUAAAUAAAGCUUGUUUAAUAUGUCUCAAACAGAAAAUGUCUUUUGAAGAGCAUUUUAAACCUGAUAUUAAAAUCUGGCCGAGCGCAUGUCCCGGGGCGUAAUUGGUGGGCACAGGAAUUUGGGUCCUUUGCAAGAAGUGUGGUAUUCUCCCUUCACAAGGUAUUUCUUCCCCAAUGUAUAAAAUGAAAGCAGA